CGUGUAGGCGGCCGGAUAAGUCAGAUGUGAAAGCCCUGGGCUUAACCCGGGAAGUGCAUUUGAAACUGUCCUGCUAGAGUAAGGGAGAGGGAAGUGGAAUUCCUGGUGUAGAGGUGAAAUUCGUAGAUAUCAGGAGGAACACCGGUGGCGAAGGCGACUUCCUGGCCCUAUACUGACGCUGAGACGCGAGAGCGUGGGUAGCAAACAGGAUUAGAUACCCUGGUAGUCCACGCCGUAAACGAUGUUCACUAGGUGUUGGGGGUAUUGACCCCCUCAGUGCCGGAGCUAACGCAUUAAGUGAACCGCCUGGGGAGUACGGUCGCAAGACUAAA
rnacentral:rRNA from 1 species